AUGUGUGUUAAUGCAUACUGGUUGUUGAUGGGUGAUCUCUCUCUCUCUCCCCUUUGUUCCUUGUUUUUUGAAGAGAUGCUCUGUCUCUGUAUAGUUCUUACUUCUAUGUUAUCUGACAUGAAUAAUGUGAAGGCUAAUAAAUCUGCACACAAAGAGUACGUUCGUGACUUGAGAGGACGGACCUGAAGUUUUGCUCUUGCUCUGAUGAUGAUACUAUUAAAGUAUGGGACUUUGCUGGAUGCCAAGAAGAGAGGAGCUGGAAAUUGCGCCUUACUUAUCGAGAUGGCUUUGGAGAACCUGUAAUUUUCUGUGUUUAGCGUACUAAAUUUUGGGAAUGGGGUUGAGGUUGUGGUAGUAACACCAGUUAAGCCUCCUUAGCUACUGGUUUAGGUUUUCAUUCCCACUAACUCAUUCGAAAACUGCUAAUUAUUUCUAAAAAUGGGUAGGGGCCUAUAUUUUCUGUGUUUAACAUACUAGUACAGUGCCAUGCAAAGCAUGGCAUGUACCAAGAUCAAUGAACUAUGGAAAAAUGUUCAAAUCAAAGCAAUUUGUAGUAAAAUUUGAAAAAUAAUAUGACCUAAUGCAGUAACUUUUUGGUAGAGAAAACUGUCAUUGUUAAUGAGAUUAUAUUCAUGGUUGAAGCUGAUAUAGUAUCAAUACAAGUUGAUCAGGCUUCUGAUGAACUAAAAUAAACUCCUGAAACUCUGAAGUCUGAAGCUUUCAAAGAUAAAUCCAGAGGAAAAGGUAGUCUAAUUGAAGUACUCUACAGAAAAAAGUAAAGAGCAAAAAAACAAAGAAAAGCUGAAAAAAUUGUCAAAUUAAUAGAAACAAAACGUGCAUUACCAAUGAGGGCUUUUGCAUACUCAUUGUUAAACCUGCCAAAAUGUACAGACAAAUUGAUUAUUUUCAUGUAAAUAUUAGAUUCUUGUUAUCAUAUGCUAUGGAUAUCCCAUUUGGGGAUUCCUAUGUGUGUGUGUGUAACUGGACUCUACUUCUCUGUGUUGGGUAUCUAUCCUAUAUGCUCUGUCAUAUUAGGUUUCUCAUAUCCAACCCUUAACAGUGGUGUUAUAUAUGAUAAUAGAUAAAAUAAUAAAGGGAUUGUGGCAAAUAAUAAUUGAGACCACUGGAUGUACUUGAUCCCUUGGACUAUGUAGUUCAAUAAGACACUUUUACUGAGCGCAAUCAACUAACUAAUAUGCCUUUGUAAUGGGCUUCAUCAAUUUCCUACUUUGCUUCUCUAGUAUCGAAGCUACAAUUAUAUCCAUUCAUGGAGAACAUUGGUCCGGAUUGCAAGUUUAAGCAUACCUUAUUCUGAUACAACUACCCCAGUACUUUUGUGAGCGCACAAAUGCUUCACUGGCCCCGUCAUUUCCUUCUUAGCCACUAAUCCGGUCACUCCCCUAUUGUCUUCUUGUAGGUACAUCUUAAUACAUUAUUUAAAUCUGCACAUCAUUCGUUAUCUCCUUGGGGUUCACCUUACGGACUCAGGCCCUUAUUCUUGUAGGUACCUCUUAAUACAUUAUUUAAAUCUGCACAUCAUUCGUUAUCUCCUUGGGGCUUCACCUUACGGACUCAGGCCCUUAUCCUUGUGAAAUACCCAAAAGCCUCCAACGAUGUAUUAAACUCUACCCAUACUCCUCCGUGAGAAUCUAUUAGCAUAUGGUUACUUCGCAUUUGGCUGUUUGUUCUUUUUAUGGCUCAUUACUUAGUUAUAUGCAAUUAUCUAUCUAUUGGAACUCUUUUUUUGCCACACUAGAAAAGAUACAUGUGAUGGGGUUUGGAGAACAUCUCUCCUCCAAUUCAAAACUUCAUCUUGAUUGCUUUAGAGUUGCCAAUUGGAUUAUUUGUCUUGUUUAUAUCAUUUAUUCCAUUGAAACUCUUGCUUUUUAGUUUUCUUAUAGCUCAUUGCUUGGUUAUAUGCGAUUAUUUAUCUGUUGAAACUCCUGUUGAGCUAAUAUUCUUUCCUUGGUGAGUGAUCACUAUUAGAUUUUUUUCUCGAUAGUACUUCAUAUUAGAUUUAUUAUGCAUGCACUAAAGUGUGAUUUUUACGUCUUCCAUAAUUAUUUCUUAUUUUUUCCGUCGCAGUAUUUUUUAUUUCAUCGGUACAUUUUCUCAUUUUCUUGUUUGAACAUCAUUUUCCUUCUUUCUGUUUGUCCUUCCUUAUCUUCUUUGUUCUCCUCAAGCCAUCAUACACUUUCUCCUUGUUCCAAAUAUUCUUCUGAAACCUAAUCUAGAAAUAUGUUUACACCUUUGCUAAGAAGUUCUUUGAUAACUGCACCUGUUGCUUUGAACUUGAAGGUGCAGGCCUUAGAUGAUACAUUUUAUUAGUUUUGUCAUGUUAAAGGGAUGAUACAUGCAAUUAUUGCAAACAAGGGAUAACCUGAGAGUCUCUUUUGUGUUUAAACUCAGACAGGUCACCUAUGGGAUGUAAAGAGUUUUGACUGGCACCCUACAAAAUCUUUGCUCGUUUCAGAUUCGGAUGUAAGAAUUGUGUUACAUAUUAUGCACUUUGCUUCAUUGCUAUGCAGUGUUGUUAUGAUGUUUUAUGUACCGGAACGGUUAUAGAUGGCAAGGAAAGCCUUGUGAAACUUUGGGAUGCAAAAUUAGGGAAAGAAUUUUGUUCGUUGUGGGUUGGAACACAUUUUCACUGAAAGAAGAGAUUUGCUUCCAUGAAAAUUUAAUGAUUCACUUCCAUUUAAAUAUAAUAAAUACAACUUGGCGUUUAUAAAUGUGCCGACAUGGUCACAAGAAUUGGGUGUUUCUUAUCAAAGGGAAUCAAAAUUGUAAUUGGGUGCUCACUUCUUCAAAAGAUCAGCAUCUUCUAUGCAGGCUUCCGUAAGUUCAUUAUUUUACCUUUCUAGGCUGCUCAUGUUUCCUAAUGUUGCAUCUUGAAUAUGACUGUAUUAAAUAAUCUGGUGGUUGCCCGAGAUCUGGCAAUUUUUAUGGCUAUCUAUGGCCUACUUUGAAUAAAUGUAUUCUUUUAGCUGUGAGCUUUUCUUCUUGUUCUUGAUGAAACCAUUGCUUCAUGAACUCAUAUUAUAGUUUGCACUUUCCAUCUCAGUAUUACUGUACUAAGUUCAGAACAGAUGUAGUAAUAGGUCUUAUGUGUUGAGACUGGUGCUCAACAUGUUUUCUACAAAUCAUGUUUCUUUUGGUUUAAGGAAGUAAGGAUGGGAACUUGGAGUGUUCAAGGAUGAAAGUGGCCAUAUAAUUAUAAUGCUAAUGAUCAUUUUUGGGGUCACUACUUUCUCAAGGACUGGAGCCUUGGAAACCAUGCAGUUAUACAUUUUUGUAUGAGGCCUAUUCGGAUUGCUUUUUAUAUAGGGGAUGUUAUCAAUGUCAUUUGAUGGGAGAUGAAUGGUCUCCAUACUCCUAUUAUAUUUAGCAUCAUUAUUUUAUGGUAUGAAGGAUACUAUGUAUCUGCACGUGGCCCGGCUAAUAAUGUGGUAGCAGGUUAGCAAAUCAUGGUUAUGCGGAUGAUCAUGAGGGGCAUUUUGAUCCUAUAAAGCCUUUUCUUUCAUUUGGUGAUGAUAUUCUUUUGCUGUAAAGAGAGUUUUUUUUAAUAUACCUGCUGGGAGGAUCUCUUGUUUUUUUGUUACUUUAGCGGAUCUUUGGGAUGAGUUAUUUUUUUUUUUUAUAUAUAUAUAUAUCUUUUGAGAAUGUCUGCAUAAAGGCUCAUAGUGCAAAUUAAUAUGCUUUUGUUUGAGUUCACCAAAUGCUAGUGUUGAUUCUACGUAUACCUAUACAAGCACGCAUAGAUGUUUGUUGACUCCGUGAUGCAUGCAUAAUUUUUUAAAGGCUUGUUGAUGCAUGCAUAAUUGUUUGUCAGACAUUCUUUUUCCUUAACAAUGUAUAAUAGUCCAUUAACUUAUUCCCCAAUAUUACUAUCUCAACCCUACUCGCAAUGUAAACCUUUAUCAUAUUUUCAGUUUUAUGAUACUAUGAAGGAGCCUGAAUCUUAUUGUGGACAUGGCAAGGAUGUAACUGGUUGGUAAUUUGUUUGUAGCUUAUUCUUUUCUAAUUUAUUAUUUUAUACAUAAUAGAAGCAUCCCCAAUGGCCAUUAUACUUUUGCACUUUUAAGCACUUGUAAUCCAUCUGGUGGACUCUUUUUUUAUUGUUUACUUACAGUACUUUGUAACAACUGACAAGUAACAAAUUGAUUUGGUUGUAUGCUAA